UCCGGUUGUAGCUGCUGGAGCUUGAAGUUAGCUACGGAUGUUUGUAGCAGCUGCUAAGAGCUCCGGUUGUAGCUGCUGGAGCUUGAAGUUAGCUACGGAAGUCUGUAGUAGCUGCUACGAGUGUCGGCCGUAGCGAACUUCCAGCCCAGUGCUGCCGUGGGAAAAAAAUCAGCGGCACAGUACUAACGGGAGGACACGCGAGCGGGGGGAAGAGCGUGGAGAGCCCAACACUCACGAACCUAACAUCCAGCUGCAGCUGCUGCUAUGGCCGCUCGUUCAAGAUACCGGAGCACACUGUGCUGCACUGAUGUCGGUGUUGGGACCUCAGCUGUAAGAGACCUUGCUUGGAGGAGGGAGAGGACAAGAUGUGACAUUACAUGGAUAACCUUUUGGACCUCAUCUUUCACGAGAUUUUUUAGGACCCGGCCCCUUAUGUGAAUGAGAUACUGAAGAUCUCAAAACCUGAGGAUCUCUCUGCCUAGUAUGAGAAACCUGACAAGCAGGAAGUUAUAGCCAGCUAUGUGUCGAGUUUCAAUCAAGGGCAGGUCUGAACCCUGUAUAACUUCCCUGAGCAUCAGGGAACACUCUGCGUAUCUGGAGCAGCGAGCAGGAGGGCAGGACCACCCUGAUUCUCCGGCCCAGAGGGCCUCAACACCAGCUCACAAAGCUUCUGUACGCCAAAUACCUGUAACGGUUGAGCAAAGUUCACAUUGUAUUUAGAGAAUAAAAGGUGACACACAAAUAUAAAGUGUUCCUUUGUUUACAGUAUAGCUACUGAUGGCACAAAUUGUAUUUUUGUAAUGAAUGUAUUUAUUAUACUUGGUAUUUUUUGUAUUUAUUACCUCUGUCCUAGCCAGUACAUUUAAUAACUAUGAUUAAAAAGCUCUGUGGCAAUCUUUCUAGCAAUCUUUCUGACAAUAAAAGUUUAUAGAAACA